AUCCCUUCACUCAUACUCUUACUCUCAUUCAAAGGGGGUGUUUCAUUACUUCAACAUGGCGACACUCUCUAACAUAAUUCUGCUGCGUUGUUCUUGGCAUUUAGUGUUGCACGUCGUUUUCUGGUGGUUUCUGCUGGCCGUUAUUCCUUGCAGCAUGGCCAAUGUACCAAAUGAAUCACCAUCUAUAGAAGCCCAAGAAGAGGCUUAUGUUACCUUCCGACACAAAACGGACAGUCUUACCAUUCUCAUGCUUCUUACAUUACUUUUACUCACAAUUUUGACUAUUUGGUUGUUUAAGCAUAGACGUUUUCGAUUCGUGCAUGAAACUGGACUUUCUAUGAUAUACGGUUUGGUUGUUGGUGCCGUAAUCCGUUAUGCUGGCGGGCCGUCUUCUCACCGCGUUCCACCGCAAGCCAAGCUCAUCAAUGCAACAGCUACAGUUGAAAAUAUACCAAAUUCUAUUUAUUUAUUUUUGAAUAUAUCUAACAGUAGUCACUCAGAGACUUUACAAUAUAAUUUUUACAGCAAAGUUAAGACUGAAACUCAGGGCGUGCCUUUAGAAAGAACAGUUACGUUUGAUCCAGAGUUGUUCUUCAAUGUUCUUCUUCCUGUUAUUAUUUUCAAUGCUGGAUACAGUAUGAAACGAAAACAUUUUUUUCGGAAUCUUGGUGCAGUUAUGACUUAUGCUUUAAUUGGUACCACAAUAUCCAGUAUAGUAUUUGGUGGUAUCAUGUAUGGCCUGACCAGAAUAAUGAACAUAUCGCAUCUAAUCCAGUUGACUGAUUGUUUCUUUUUCGGUGCUGUGAUAUCAGCAACAGACCCUGUUACGAUUCUGGCUAUUUUCCAUGAUCUCAAUGUUGAUGUUGAUUUGUAUGCCCUUGUCUUUGGUGAAAGUGUGCUCAAUGAUGCAGUGGCUAUAGUGUUGUCUCGAGCUGUUGAACAAUAUGCCCAUGCAGCGGGAGGAGAAAACCAAGCAAAUGCUUUCUUUGGUUCCCUGGGCAAUUUCGUUGGAGUCUUUUUGGGUGCUUUUGUGAUCGGUGCAGCUAUUGGCUGCAUAACAGCUUUGAUGACAAAAUAUACAAAGAUUCGAGAAUAUCCUUUAUUAGAAACAGCACUGUUCUUCUUGAUGUCUUACAGUACGUUCCAAGCUGCCGAAGCUGCUGGACUAACAGGAAUUGUUGCUGUCCUAUUUUGUGGUAUUACUCAAGCUCAUUAUACUUAUAACAAUCUCUCGUCAGAAUCGAAAGCGAGGACAAAACAAUUGUUCGAGCUAUGCAACUUUUUAGCUGAAAAUUUUGUAUUCCUCUAUAUUGGAGUGUCUGUAUUUACUUUCCAAGCCAUGAAAUGGCAUGCAAUUUUUAUAUUUUCAGCAUUUUUUGCAAUAAUUAUAGCAAGAUUUUCUAAUGUUUACCCGCUGUCCUAUUUGCUAAAUUUAGGACGGAAGAAUAAAAUUAGUUUUGCUUUCCAACACAUGAUGAUGUUUGCUGGUUUACGAGGAGCAAUCGCUUUUGCUCUAGCCAUUCGAAACACGUCAACGGCAGCCCGACAGUACAUGGUAUCUGCCAUCAUGAUGGUUGUCCUUGUGACAGUCAUAGUGUGUGGAAGUAUGACCACGCCCAUGUUACAGUGGCUCAAGAUCAGAGUUGGUGUCGAUGAAGAACACGAACAGCCGUUUGAGCCUGUGCGUACCGCCAUUAAUCGCCAGAAACAGUAUAGCACGAUGGAUGGGCCGGCGAGUGAACAGUCCUCAUCUUCUGCAGCUGGUGGCACACCAUCAAACUCUACCGCAGCAGGAGUCCCAAAUCAGACCAGCACGAGUCCUGGUUCAGUGCCAAGUGAGCAGCCACCUUCAGGAGAGAAAGCUUGGUUGGUGCUUCAUUGGUACAACUUUGAUACCAAAUACAUGAAGCCAUUCUUGACUAACAGUCGCCCCCUGCUCACAGAAACUCUACCAACCUGGUGCUUACCCAUAGCGAAACUUUUAACUACAAAUGAACAGUUAUCUGAAGGUCUUCAUAAACGGGAGUCUGAUUCUGAUACAGAUAUGAUUAUUGACCACAGCGAGUCAUACGGAGAAAACACCAGUGUUGCCUCUGGACACACGGCUGACAUGAUAGACAGAAAGCCAACACUACAAGAACAGGAAGAUUUUGAGGAUAUAUCUGUGUAUGAUGUGGACGAAUCCUCGACUCCUUUGCUUUGACCUUCAUCAGUAUUUUAUCCUAGGUUCUUUAUCAAAACCACUUUAUAUUUAUAUACUGUUUCAUAUCAAGACCAACCAUGAGAGGAUUAAAGAUUAACUUGGAAGAUGAUGCAACAAGCGGAGACCUUGGACUUGGUGAAAGUAACCACCACCAAUUAAGCCUGCGCAUCAAUCUGCCCGGUUCCCAUGAUAAUAAUCCAUACAAAACUUUGCCUGACUGAGAACAAAACACCACCUGGAAGUUUUACCAUUGAAUAACAUUAAAUAUUGCGUGAACAUCCAUAAAUCCAGUCUGAAUCAAUACUCCAAGAAAUCUUCAUCAUCUGAGCACUUAUUUUUGUUAUCUUUCUUUAUUUUAUCUCCUCCCUCACCUAUGACCACCACCGUCAUUAACAACAACAAUAACCACAAAAACAGUCAUGGACUUGACUUUUGGUGUAAUGUAAAUAAGUAUUCAUUUACCUGAAAUAACGAACGUUUAAUCUUUAUUACACAUGUGCACAUGCACAUAGGCACACGGACAUACAUAUACACCCAUACACAUACACACACAAAUGCUAAUAUAAAUAUGCAUUAGUUCAUGUUAGAAGCAUGGUGUUCCGCAUGAAAGAUGGCAUUUAAUUUAAAGAGUAUUAAUUAAACAGUUAAAUGCUGUUUUAAUUGUGGGACAUCUGUUGCAUACGUCCAGAAGCAUACAUAUAUGUGUGUGUGCAUAUGUCUACCUCUCUCUCUAUAUGUGUGUGUGUAUAUAUAUAUAUGUGUGUGUGU